UAGGAUAGAAAUCAGUUCCAACACUACGAUAAACAGCGAGCAAUACGAAGACAGAUCACAAAAUCUGCGAUCUAAAUAAAAGGCUUGGUCAUUGGCACUGGGGGGAGGGAAAGAGGGAAUGGGGGGAGAGGUGAGGGUAGGGGUUAUAGGGGGAGGGAAAGAGGGAAUGGGGGGAGAGGUGAGGGGUUAUAGGGGGAGGGAAAGAGGGAAUGGGGGAGAGGUGAGGGUAGGGGUUAUAGGGGGAGAGGUGAGGGGUUAUAGGGGGAGGGAAAGAGGGAAUGGGGGGAGAGGUGAGGGGUUAUAGGAGAGAAAAGUGUUUUUGUUGUUGGUUUUUUUUCAUAGAAAGUGGUGGCCAUUGUGCUGUGACUAUACAAUUAUAGAAAGGUCUGUGUGUAAGUCUUUCUGAGCUCUU